UUAAGUAGUUUUUAUGUGCAGUAUUAGUGAUGUACUAAUUAAGUUUACCUCUUUAUAUAAAAGUGAUUAUUGUGAUGCUAUUUACAGUGAUUUAAGUUAAAGUACAUUGCUUGUUUGGACAUUGUGUAAUCAUUAUUGUGGAUUUCAUUCCGCCUGAUCGCCUAACAAGUUGAGAACCGUCGCUUUGCAAUUCGUGUGUUUAUUGGGAGAACCGGAAGAAGGCAUUGUGAGGCGUCGCGUUCGCUUAA